rnacentral:siRNA from 1 species
UUGUUUUAGGUGGGCAGAAGUA